rnacentral:rRNA from 1 species
UGCAAGUCGAGCGAACAGAUAAGGAGCUUGCUCCUUUGACGUUAGCGGCGGACGGGUGAGUAACACGUGGAUAACCUACCUAUAAGACUGGGAUAACUUCGGGAAACCGGAGCUAAUACCGGAUAACAUAUUGAACCGCAUGGUUCAAUAGUGAAAGGCGGCUUUGCUGUCACUUAUAGAUGGAUCCGCGCCGUAUUAGCUAGUUGGUAAGGUAACGGCUUACCAAGGCAACGAUACGUAGCCGACCUGAGAGGGUGAUCGGCCACACUGGAACUGAGACACGGUCCAGACUCCUACGGGAGGCAGCAGUAGGGAAUCUUCCGCAAUGGGCGAAAGCCUGACGGAGCAACGCCGCGUGAGUGAUGAAGGUCUUCGGAUCGUAAAACUCUGUUAUCAGGGAAGAACAAAUGUGUAAGUAACUGUGCACAUCUUGACGGUACCUGAUCAGAAAGCCACGGCUAACUACGUGCCAGCAGCCGCGGUAAUACGUAGGUGGCAAGCGUUAUCCGGAAUUAUUGGGCGUAAAGCGCGCGUAGGCGGUUUUUUAAGUCUGAUGUGAAAGCCCACGGCUCAACCGUGGAGGGUCAUUGGAAACUGGAAAACUUGAGUGCAGAAGAGGAAAGUGGAAUUCCAUGUGUAGCGGUGAAAUGCGCAGAGAUAUGGAGGAACACCAGUGGCGAAGGCGACUUUCUGGUCUGUAACUGACGCUGAUGUGCGAAAGCGUGGGGGAUCAAACAGGAUUAGAUACCCUGGUAGUCCAC